rnacentral:rRNA from 1 species
UACGAAGGGGGCUAGCGUUGUUCGGAAUUACUGGGCGUAAAGCGCACGUAGGCGGAUUUGCCAGUCAGGGGUGAAAUCCCGGGGCUCAACCUCGGAACUGCCUCUGAUACAGCAAGUCUUGAGUCCGGAAGAGGUGGGUGGAAUUCCUAGUGUAGAGGUGAAAUUCGUAGAUAUUAGGAAGAACACCAGUGGCGAAGGCGGCUCACUGGCCCGGUACUGACGCUGAGGCGCGAAAGCGUGGGGAGCAAACAGG